UGCAGUCGAACGCGUCUUGGUUAUUGAUGUUAAGUGCUUGCAUUUAAUUGAUUUAACAUUGAGACGAGUGGCGAACUGGUGAGUAACACGUGGGUAACCUGCCCUUGAAGUAGGGGAUAACACUUGGAAACAGGUGCUAAUACCGUAUAACAACCAAAACCACCUGGUUUUGGUUUAAAAGAUGGCUUCGGCUAUCACUUUAGGAUGGACCCGCGGCGUAUUAGCUUGUUGGUAGGUAACGGCCUACCAAGGCAAUGAUACGUAGCCGACCUGAGAGGGUAAUCGGCCACAUUGGGACUGAGACACGGCCCAAACUCCUACGGGAGGCAGCAGUAGGGAAUCUUCCACAAUGGACGAAAGUCUGAUGGAGCAACGCCGCGUGAGUGAUGAAGGGUUUCGGCUCGUAAAACUCUGUUGUUGGAGAAGAACAGGUGUGAGAGUAACUGUUCACAUCUUGACGGUAUCCAACCAGAAAGCCACGGCUAACUACGUGCCAGCAGCCGCGGUAAUACGUAGGUGGCAAGCGUUGUCCGGAUUUAUUGGGCGUAAAGCGAGCGCAGGCGGUUUCUUAGGUCUGAUGUGAAAGCCUUCGGCUUAACCGGAGAAGUGCAUCGGAAACCAGGAGACUUGAGUGCAGAAGAGGACAGUGGAACUCCAUGUGUAGCGGUGAAAUGCGUAGAUAUAUGGAAGAACACCAGUGGCGAAGGCGGCUGUCUGGUCUGUAACUGACGCUGAGGCUCGAAAGCAUGGGUAGCGAACAGGAUUAGAUACCCUGGUAGUCCAUGCCGUAAACGAUGAGUGCUAAGUGUUGGAGGGUUUCCGCCCUUCAGUACUGCAGCUAACGCAUUAAGCACUCCGCCUGGGGAGUACGACCGCAAGGUUGAAACUCAAA
rnacentral:rRNA from 1 species